GAUUAAAAAUCAAAAUGGUAAAUAUAGUAAUAGCAGUGAAUAAAUAAAGAAAUUAAAUAAAUUAUUGUCAGAGAAAUAUAUGGUAACAUAUUGUUAGUCUAAAUUUAAGGUAAGACCAAAAAAUAAUAAAAUAAAUGAAAGGGUCCAAACAACUUUUUAAAGUAAAUUUAUUAAAACUCAUUCCCUUUUAAUAGUAUUGAUAUGAUCUUUCAACGUUAUCCAUGAUGGUCCCCUUGUUUGAUUGAUUGAAACCUAGCAUUAGCUUUCAAAACUUCAUAUCGAAUAUACGUCUUUUGUUUAUUGGCAUCACGCGAGAGUAUUUAAAUGUAACACAAAAAGUCAUAACAUUAACAUCCGGAAACUAUUCAAUUUUUCAUGAAUCAUAUUCGUUUUAUCCAAGCAUUUGUUAUCCUUAUCUUAAUAAGCAUUUUUACAAACAAAAUAUAGGUUUUAAAUUACAAAAUUUCCGGACCAUAUUCUUCCCAUCUCUUAUAUACUAAAGCACAAGUCACCUUUCCAAUUAAAUUUUGACACAUUUCAAUUUUUUUUUAAAAAAAUCAGUUAAGCAAGAUAAUGAUCUAAAAAAUAAUAGCGUAUAACAAUUUUUCAAACACAAUCUACAACCCACGAUCUUUAUCAUUUCCCACUAUCUUUUGCUUUUCUAUAUUUUUCUAUAUUUUUAGAUUGGAUAAACAAAUAUCAGAGGAACUUCUCAUCUAUCUUAAACAGAGUAUGAAAGAUCUAUGAUCUUAAUGCAAAUUUGGGGUCGUAUGGAAUGUCCCGAGCCCGUGCUGAAAUUGAUCUGUAAGAAACAAAUAUCAAUAAAGCAUAUUUGAUAUUUCUCAGUGGAGCUAUCUUGUUUGGCAAAACAUCCUUCAACGAACCGGUUUACAGUUAGAAAGGUUCAAGAAAGAGUGGAUAUGGUGAAUCUGAAUUGGAGGAGACUUGACUCCAACAAAGACUUUAGGAAAAAAAGAAAGAAAGAGGACGAAAAUAGAAAGCAUACACAAAUGCAGAUGAAGACGUGGAACAUCUUUGAUAAAAGGUUUAAUGUUUCAGUCAGAUAUUAAGUAAUCAAUAGCGAGAGGGACACAAAGAGUUGAAGAUGACAAUGCCACAUAAAAGCUGAUUAAAUUUUAGGAUACACACAAAUAAAUAUUAGCAGGUAGACGUUUAUAUUACUGCAAUCUUUCCAAUACACAAUGUUUUCUUUUAGAUGUUUGAAAUAUUAAUACACAACACAAUGAUCAGAAUUUAUUUUUCAACUCUAUUGUAUUCUCUUAACUACCAUGAAUAAUAGGAAGAUCAAUGAUUUUAUAUA